rnacentral:rRNA from 1 species
CAGCAGCCGCGGGAAUACGAAGGGGGCUAGCGUUGCUCGGAAUGACUGGGCGUAAAGGGCGCGUAGGCGGCUAUCAAAGUCAGGCGUGAAAUUCCUGGGCUCAACCUGGGGGCUGCGCUUGAUACUGGGUUGCUUGAGUGGGGAAGAGGGUCGUGGAAUUCCCAGUGUAGAGGUGAAAUUCGUAGAGAUCGGAAGGAACAUCAGUGGCGAAGGCGGCCAUCUGGGACAACACUGACGCUGAAGCACGAAAGCGUGGGGAGCAAACAGGAUUAGAUACCCCAGUAGUCCCUGUCUCUUAUAC